rnacentral:rRNA from 1 species
GACGAACGCUGGCGGCGUGCUUAACACAUGCAAGUCGAACGGAAAGGCCCUGCUUUUGUGGGGUGCUCGAGUGGCGAACGGGUGAGUAACACGUGAGUAACCUGCCCUUGACUUUGGGAUAACUUCAGGAAACUGGGGCUAAUCCCGGAUAGGAGCUCCUGCUGCAUGGUGGGGGUUGGAAAGUUUCGGCGGUUGGGGAUGGACUCGCGGCUUAUCAGCUUGUUGGUGGGGUAGUGGCUUACCAAGGCUUUGACGGAUAGCCGGCCUGAGAGGGUGACCGGCCACAUUGGGACUGAGAGACGGCCCAGACUCCUACGGGAGGCAGCAGUGGGGAAUAUUGCACAAUGGGCGGGAGCCUGAUGCAGCAGCGCCGCGUGCGGGAUGACGGCCUUCGGGGUGUAAACCGCUUUCGCCUGUGACGAAGCGUGAGUGACGGUAAUGGGUAAAGAAGCACCGGCUAACUACGUG